AUUGAACGCUGGCGGCAGGCCUAACACAUGCAAGUCGAGCGGGGUUUUCGGACCUAGCGGCGGACGGGUGAGUAAUGCGUAGGAAGCUACCCGAUAGAGGGGGAUACCAGUUGGAAACGACUGUUAAUACCGCAUAAUGUCUACGGACCAAAGUGUGGGACCUUCGGGCCACAUGCUAUCGGAUGCGCCUACGUGGGAUUAGCUAGUUGGUGAGGUAAUGGCUCACCAAGGCGACGAUCCCUAGCUGGUUUGAGAGGAUGAUCAGCCACACUGGAACUGAGACACGGUCCAGACUCCUACGGGAGGCAGCAGUGGGGAAUAUUGGACAAUGGGCGCAAGCCUGAUCCAGCCAUGCCGCGUGUGUGAAGAAGGCCUUCGGGUUGUAAAGCACUUUCAGUAGGGAGGAAGCGUUGAGUGUUAACAGUACUCAGCGUUGACGUUACCUACAGAAGAGGCACCGGCUAACUCUGUGCCAGCAGCCGCCGUAA
rnacentral:rRNA from 1 species